GUGAAGAAGCUAAUUUUAUCAUUUGGAUUGUCUUGUCUGUAUAUAAUACGAAGAUACCAUUCAGCUAAUCUUUACACAGCUGAAAAAAGUACAGUAACGCAACUUUGUCCACAACUCUCAUAAUUCAGGUUUACAGGCGGAGUUUGAGAAGCACUUGUAGCACAUUUGACAGGUUGAGAAAAUAGUUUGUGGUUAUGCUCAGGAAGCCUCACAGCAUAGAAAGAAAAAGACUGCAUUUCCUGAACUUCCUUGAACCCCUAAAGGCCAUCAGAAAUAGCAGUUACUAUAAGAGGAGAUAUGCAGAAUUCCUUACUCAGCAGUAAGUAUGUUGACUUCCCUGUUUGGCCAACGUCUCAACACCAAUUUUCAGACAUCGCUUUUCUAAGAUGAUGUGUGCGUGCUGGUUGUGUUUAUCUGUGCCUUGUUUUGGUAUUAUUGCAGUACAUCUACUGACCUCGUUUAAAAAGUCGACUGCGCUUGUUCAAGGAAAGAAGAGUCAAAUUGUUGAAUCCAAAGGAAGACUUUGUGCAAUUGGUGGUCUUGCAAGAACUUUGACAACAACAGAGAUCUACAGUACCAUCCACCCCAUAACAGUGCUACAAGACCACACCUCAUUUAACAAUAUAGACCUCUACCAUGGUGAGUCUUGGUUUUGGCCAUUAGCCAUGUACAGCCAACGUGAAACUUUGAGUAGUUUAAUUUCAUUUUAGCAGAUUCUUAAUUACAAGCUGGUUUGUACACUUUGUACUGGGAUCAGUCAAUGAUGUCUUUUGGGGACUUUGGCGGCAGUUAAUGGCAACAAAAAGACAUGCUCAGACUAGGCCUGAAAAUCAAACAACAACCAACAACUGGCAACACCCAAUUUUUGUGCUCUGACUAACCUAUAAUACUGUGCAGUGGUCAUAGACCACCCUUCAUUCAUUUAACUUUCCAUCAAAUCUGACAUUAAAUGCGAGUUUAAGUAUUCAUUUUUCCAUAUCAGAAGAAAUGCAGAAAAUAUAUUUUUUACAGAAAAUUACACAGAAACCUUACAAACUAAAUAUAUCAAAUUCAUUUCAAAAUAUUUAGUGUGUCCACACUUUUCAGUUUUUCAAAGAUCUGCAGGGGUAUUUUUCCACACCUCUAACUUCCUUAGAAGUUGGUUGUAUACUCUGCUUCUUACUAUCCAAGUGAUCCCAACACACAUUCAGUGAUGUUGAGGUCUGGACUCUGGGUGUGGUCAGUCCAUUGUUCUGAGAACACCAGCAACGUUUUUGUUUGAUUUGCAAAUGUUAUGCUUUUUGUCGGUUUCCUUUUCUCUGUAAUGGCUUCUCGGCAGCUACACACCUUUUCAUGUGGAUAGUGUAGAGUCUUCUAAAAGUGGAAGGAUGGACAGAAACAUCUAUGGAUUGAAACAAGAGUGGACCUUGAUUUUCACCUCUCUUUCAAAGAUCUUUAAUUACCGUUUAUCUGAUGGUGGCAGUUUGGUGGUCUAUACGGUCUUGCUCUGUUGUUAAGAGUCCCAUUUUCACUGCAUCAUUUAAUAAAGCUAUUUAAUAGCUUAAUAUUAUUACUCCAGUUUUAUGGACCGCUGUUUUUUUUUUUUUUCCUUUGAUGUUUUUGCGAGUGG
ensembl:lncRNA